GACGAACGCUGGCGGCGUGCUUAACACAUGCAAGUCGAACGGAAAGGCCCUGCUUGCGGGGUGCUCGCGUGGCGAACGGGGGAGUAACACGCGGGUGAUCUGCCCUGCACUUCGGGAUAAACCUUGAGAACUGGGGCUAAUACCGGGUAGGGGCCAUCCUGCUUGAGGGGGUUGGAAAGAUUUUUCGGUCUGGGGUGAGUCCACGGCCUAUCCGCCUGGUUGUGGGGGUAUGGGCUGCCAAGGCGGCGGCGGGUGGGCGGCCCGGGGGGGUGGACGGCCACAAUGGGGCUGGGAUUCGGCCCAGACUCCUACCGGGGGGAGGAGGGGGGAAUUAUGCCCCAAGGGGCGGAGCCCGAUGCAGCGACGCCGGGUGGGGGAUGACGGCCUUUGGGUUGGAAACCCCCUUCGCCAGGGACGAAGCUUUUUGUGACGGUACCUAGAUAAGAAGCACCGGCUAACUACGUG
rnacentral:rRNA from 1 species